GCAAACUUGGUCAUUUAGAGGAAGUAAAAGUCGUAACAAGGUUUCCGUAGGUGAACCUGCGGAAGGAUCAUUAUUGAAUUAAUGGAUUUGGGCUGUUGCUGGCUUGUGAAGCACAUGUGCACGCGCAUUUCCUUAUUUCUCUACACCUCAUGUGCACUCGUGUAGUUCCAAAUAUGUUUCAAACCCGCUUAACAGUUGGCUUGGAAUCGAGAAAUUGCAGUGGUCGGCGGUACAUAACGUCCCACUGCUUUUCUUGAAUAUUUUGGUUCUAUGUCUUUUUGGCUUUAUAAACAUCCAAUGUGAAAAAAAGAACUAUUGAAUGAAAUACAUACAACUUUCAACAACGGAUCUCUGGGCUCUCGCAUCGAUGAAGAACGCAGC
rnacentral:misc_RNA from 1 species